CCAGCGACACCGAUGCAUUGACACAUGCGCCGGGCUCACAGAGCAAACCACGUGUCGAUGCAUGUGCUGGCUCAUUACGUCACGUGAUUGACACGUGAACUGCGUUGACACAGUCCAGGCUUCUAAUUGACACACCGGCUGCGUUGACACAGUCCAGGCUGCUAAUUGACACAUCGACUGUGUUGACACAGUCCAGGCUGCUAAUUGACACAUCGGCUGCGUUGACACAGUCCAGGCUGCUAAUUGACACGUGAACUGCACCUGCAUCGGCUGCUUGGCACAGUACAGGCUGCGCCACUUAGUCCAGGGGGCGUCGACUCAGUGCAGAGGGCGUUGACGCAGCAAAAGCCCGCCACACAGUGUUUAUAAGGAACACCUGCCGAAACAAGCCAGACCUCACUCACGCUCGCUUGUCGAAGCUCGUGUCAGUGCAGACUUCGUGUUCGUGCCUUGCCUUCCUUGCCGAUUAUGGAGCAGAGACGCAAAUCAUCCGCCGUGUGGGACCAUUUUGAUGUCCUGGAGAAUAAGGUGAAAUGUCGAAUUUGCCAAGUCAAUUCGCCAACAGAAGCACCUCCACCAUGCUGAGGCAUUAUCGGGCCAAGCAUGAGAAUGAAGUUCGCGAUACACCCGGUAUUACGCCAGGUUCCAGGAAGCAGCUGUACUGGAAGGACCAACACACUUCUUUCCCAAACCUCUCCCACCUCGCAAAGGAGUUCCUUUGUACGCCAGCCACAUCCAUCCCUUGUGAGCGUGUGUUCUUCACAGCAGGAGAAAUUGCUUGUAAAAGACUCAACAGGCUGAAGUUUAAAACAUUGGAGCAUCUUAUUUUUCUCAAUAAACAUGUGAAAUCAAAGCCCACAAGCAUCCUCAUUCAAA